rnacentral:piRNA from 1 species
UGCAGGAUGCCGAGAAGGUGGUGGAGC